AGAGUUUGAUCAUGGCUCAGGACGAACGCUGGCGGCGUGCUUAACACAUGCAAGUCACGGGGGCCCGCAAGGGCAACCGGCGAACGGGUGCGUAACACGUGAGCAACCUGCCUUUGUGUGGGGGAUAGCCGGGCUAACGCCCGGGUAAUACCGCAUACGGUCACCGGGAGGAGUCUCCUGGUGAAGAAACCUCCGGGGCACGAAGAGGGGCUCGCGGCCUAUCAGCUAGUUGGCGGGGUAAUGGCCCACCAAGGCGACGACGGGUAGCUGGUCUGAGAGGAUGGCCAGCCACAUUGGGACUGAGAGACGGCCCAGACUCCUACGGGAGGCAGCAGUGGGGAAUCUUGCGCAAUGGCCGAAAGGCUGACGCAGCGACGCCGCGUGUGGGAGGACGCCUUUCGGGGUGUAAACCACUGUUGCCCGGGACGAACAUCCCUUUUCGAGGGGACUGACGGUACCGGGUGAGGAAGCACCGGCUAACUCCGUGCCAGCAGCCGCGGUAAUACGGAGGGUGCGAGCGUUGUCCGGAAUCAUUGGGCGUAAAGGGCGCGUAGGUGGCGGGACAAGCGUGCGGUGAAAGCCUGGGGCUCAACCCCGGGUCGGCCGUGCGAACUGUUUUGCUUGAGCACUGUAGAGGCAGGCGGAAUUCCGGGUGUAGCGGUGGAAUGCGUAGAGAUCCGGAAGAACAUCGGUGGCGAAGGCGGCCUGCUGGGCAGUAGCUGACACUGAGGCGCGACAGCGUGGGGAGCAAACAGGAUUAGAUACUCUGGUAAUCUACGCUCGUAAACGAUGGGCACUAGGCGCUUGGGGGGAGCGAUCUCUCGAGGGUCGGCGCUAACGCAUUAAGUGCUCCGCCUGGGGGAGUACGGGCGCAAGGCUAAAACUCAAAGGAAUUG
rnacentral:rRNA from 1 species